GUGAGUCAUCGAAUCUUUGAACGCAUAUUGCACCCUCUGGUAUUCCGGGGGGUACACCUGUCCGAGCGCCAUAUCAAUCCUCAAGCAUAGCUUUGGUGUUGGGUGAAGUCCCCGAUGGACUUGCCCGUAACUUGUAGGCGGCCAGACACCCGCUCCCUCAGCGUAGCAGGCUCACGCAUCCGCUUGGGGACAGGCUCUGUCUGCCUGGCAACCAACCUUUCAAAAGGUUCAAAGGUUGGCCUCGGAUCAGGUGGGGAUACCCGCUGAACUUAAGCAUAUCAAUAAGCGGAGGA
rnacentral:misc_RNA from 1 species